ACCCCACUUACAAUGCUGUCCUUUCAUCACUUCCCAGGAAACUGAAUUGCAUUUCCUCUUGGCCUCAGAUGAAUAUACCGACGAUGGUCGUUCAGACUUGGCCACGGGUGGCUCUAACGACCAUGACCACUGUUGUUACCACAGCCAGGAACACUAACGAACCAGCUGUAUAGACGAUCCUAGCAGAGGUUAAAUAGUUGAGUUUCCCUACCAGUCAGUCAGAACUGAAGUGUCUAGGAUGAGGGAUGAAACAUCUUCCAGUAUCUUCAACCAAGUCCAGUUGCCCUUGACCUCAACCUUCGUUGGAUAACUAUGACCUGGUUGACAGAGAAGCUUCACAGACAAGGUGCUGUACUGUUGCCUCACAGCAAGAAGGUUUUGGGUUUGACCCUGCAGGCAACUGGAGCCUUUCUGUGUGAAGUUGGCAUGUUCUUCCUGUGCGUACCCGGGUUUUCUUCAGGUGCUUAAACAUACAGGUUAAUUGGCGACUCUUAACUUGUCCAUAGAUGUGAAUGUGAGUGUAAAUGUCUUAUCAUUCAGGUUAGUGGUACUGGUGAAGCCCUGCGAAUAACUGCCAGCCUGUCCGGAUGCACCCCACAUCUCGCCAUUGUGAAGCUUGACUUAUUCAGUGUACCGACAGAGCCUACACAUGUAGCAGCCAAACUAAUACUUUACCCAGCAUGUGCGCCCUUAAAACUGUUACCAUGGGCCUCUUGGCUUAGGGGUUAGAAAUCUGGCCCUAAACUGCAGUGUCCCUGUUUUAUUCCAGCUGAUGACCUUUCUUGCAUCUCUCUAAUAUUGCUAUCUAAUAAUAAAAUGCUCCUUAUUUUCUGUCUUAUUUCUCCCACCCAUCUCAAAGCCAUGUCCAUUGUAAACAUUCUGCUCCCCAAAAUCACAGCCAUCACAGUGAGUGAAUGAACAUACAUUGUACACAGUGACUGCUAUAAGUAGUCUCCUGUGUGAGAGUCACCUGGAUGUUUGUCCAGUUAUUUAGGCACGUUGUAGCCCACUGUUGCUAUCAUAAAGUAAAUGAAAGUAUGUCAACACAGUAAGUACAUGUGGUACUUCUGUCUAGUGUUGCGGGAAUGACAAAAAUCAUUUAUAGUAGGAUUUGUUGUUUUGGAAACAAAAGUAAUUGAAGUGAGCCAUACGGGAGGCAACAUUGCAAACAGCUUGGAGUGCGGCGGAAGCCUUUGCUAUUCCAAAUUAUAAACGAGUAGCUGUUCAUGAGAAUGCCAGCAAUAUGAAACUGUGUACUGAGAACUGGAGAAAUGGGGCAACGUUCAAGGGGUCUGACACUUCAAAAAAAGUGCAAAAGCUACAGCUGCCUCGAAAGAGAAACAAACGCAGCAGAACGUUGCAGAGCACAAACUCUCGAUACUCGUUGGAACUCUACAUGUGAAAUGCUUAACCGAAUGGUGGAGUAACGAUGGCCAGUGACAGCUGUUUUGUCAGAUCCCAGCAUCACGAAGAAAGGAGAUCGAACCCUGGACCUGACAGCAGACCAAUGGACACUGGCACAGGAAAGAGCGGAAGUACUGGGGCCCCUAUUAACACUCACAAGAACUACUGUCACAGGAGGCAAACGUGUCGUUAUCUGCAACAGUGCCAAUGCUCUUCAACCUGAAGAAACACGACCGGAGGCGGAUGACAGCCCUGCCAGCGGUGAAUUGAAGAAACCCCUCAUCACUGAGAUUGACAGCAGAUGGCAAUUUUAAGUUUGGAGCCCAGCAGCAUCUACCUCCUUUCUUCAGCACUAGACCAGCGAUUCAAGCAACUGAAAUUCCUCGACAAUGAAUAGAAGGGCCUUGUUUAUAUUGAGGUUGUCCGCCUGGCUGAACAUCUGCUCUUGUGACAGGCCGUUCGGGAGGUGGGAGAGCCGUCAGCAAGCCACUGAGAAGAGGAGACUGCUGAACCACCAUCACCAAAAACAAAAGAAACAGGAGAUUUCCAUGCUGAUGGAGUGCGAAGACGAAGAGGACAAAGAAGACAGAGACAGUGCAAAGAAAGAGAUGGAGCAUUAUUUGAAAGACACGACUAAAGUCGGGCCCACUUGCAUGGUGGAAGCAAAACAGCGACCGCUACCCUAAUCUGGCAUUUGCAGCCAAACACUUCCUUUCCGGCCACUUAGCCCCAUCAGAGCGUAUUUUCUCUAAAGUUGGCUACGUCCUUAACAAGACAAGAAUCUUCCUCGCACACAGCGUGAAGAGUGUAGGUAGACGCAUGGCUUAAAUGAAGCUUGGAACCUGUUUGUGGGUUAUUUGAAAAUAAAUUGAUUGAUUUGUUUGUUUUAUUCUAUAGCAUGAGGCCAUUCAUUUAGUUUUAUUUAGACUUUUGUUGAAAUGUGUGGUGUGCUAUUAUUAAAAUGAUAUCUUGUUGUAUUUAUAAGUUAGUUUUAUUCCAUAUAAGGCCAUUAUUUGGUUUUAUUUAAAGUGUUUGUUGAAAUGUGUGUUGUGCUGUUUUAAAAUGAUGUGUUAAAUUCCCCUGUGGGAAUCAAUAAAGUUCAUUCUAUUCUACAUCA